rnacentral:lncRNA from 1 species
GCUUGGUAGGAAAAAUAGAAAAAUGGAACGAAAAAGUAAUUUUCUUUUCAUACAUUGCUUCGUAGAGUUGAAAAAUGAAAGGAAAGAAAAUAAAACAUUUGAAAAAUACAUAAUUUUGAACUAACAAAUCUCUUUCAUUUUCUCUCUUCUCAUCUUGUCAAUUUGAAAGAAAUAGUUUUUAUGCAUUAGGGUGAAAAAUUAUCAUCUCUCCUUUUUUUUUCUCUCACUUUUCUUCCUAACCAAACACACUCAAAAUUUAUUUUCUUUUCCUCUUCCUUCUUCCAUCCUUCCACUUUUUCACUAAACCAAACACACCCUAAGAAUUUAAAUUUGAAAUGGGUAUGGCAAAUCUGAGGUAACAUAUGAGUUAUUUUUGGAGAUAACUCGCAUGAAAUGUUUAGAAGUAAUGUUCUAAAAGCUUGCCCCAUGUACAAGAUUAGAUAGGUGAUUGUAAAAGAGAUUAACUAUUGCUAUGUGCAAGUCUAUAAUUUUACAAUUGUGUUGCGAGGUAUGCGGAGGGUACAAAUUGUGGUAGAUAUAACAUAAGUGCAAUCUUCUAACAUCAUAUGGCUUUAAGUGUCUUCACUAUACAAGUAACUUUCUUUUCAGAAUUUUGAUUAAGCAUUUGCACCGUUUGUCUUCCCCUAUUUUUAAGAUUUCUUAUCUUCCUUCAACUUUUUGUUAACUUGGUUGUAAUGGCUAGUGAAUGGUUCAUACAUAUUAAAAAUGAGGAUAGCUAAUUGAUUCACUCAAUUAGGAUCUCAUUUCUUUCCUAAUUAGUAUGUGUUGGGCCCAAUUUUAGCUAGGGGCCCAAUAAACAAAUUAAACAAAAACACCGAAACAAUCCAAUGUCCAUUUACAAACCUAUACCACUACCCAUACCAGCCCAAACAUUAAACGGGCCCAAUCAAAAUUACAACCCACACCAAAGACCCUAGCCCAAAUUUUCAGCCCAAAAGCUUAAACAAUUUCAGCUAAAGAAACCCUAAGCAGACCCUUGUGUCGUAGCCAACAGCGAGCUUCCCCCGCACGUCGCGUGCUUUCUCUGUGUCGUACGCUACUCUACUACGCUACAUCAGUGAUACACCCACGCACGUACCUACAAACGUGCAAAAAAUGAUAUGUAAAAUGGCUAUAAAAAGCCUUCGAAAAUUUUUUGUAAGGGACCUUUUUUUGGAUGAAUAUACGAUAGCAAAGAGUACAAACAAAAAAGUCAAUGGCAAUCAAAGAUCAAAUCCAAUGUUGUUUUUCAGUUUUUCUUUCCUAUUCACAGUCGCUUUUUUUUCUUUUUCCCUUUCGUUUUUAUUUUACUUUGCAAACAGAUUUUAAACAAAAGCCGAAGGAGAAGAGGCUUACCUGAAUCCACUCCGCGGAUCGGCGUCGGAGGUGGAGGCGCAAAAGUGCCGAUGACCCUCGUGCACAGCCUCUCAGGACAGGGUCAAAACCCUUGAAACGAAUUGGGAUUUGUUUUGCUACUUGUGAAGAAUGGCAGAUGGCCAUUCAUUUUUUGGUUUUUUAAAUGGCAAAUAAAACAGCAUCGUUUGGUGCUGGACCCACGCAUUUUGGCUCAAAAUGGGGGAUUUUCGCAUUGAGUCCCCCCCUUCGCGCUAGCGUUCAAUUGAGCCAUGUUUAAGUUUUUUUAAAUUCUUUUAAAUUGUCCUGGAAUUUGCGCGCCGUUACAAAUCAGUCCGCGCUUAAGUGUUUCAUUUUGGGCGUUUGGUUUUUUUUUAGUCCCCGUUAGUUUAUACGCAUCGCAUUUUGAUCCUACGGUAUUUUAUCAUUUACAAAUUGUCUUUCUGAUUUUAACCUCUCUUUUUUUAAAUAAAGUUUUUAAUUCCUAUUUUUUAUUUUCUUUUUUAUUAUUUAUUUUUUUCCAUAUAUUAUUUUACUAUAUACUGUUUUAAUAAAUUACAUAUUAUUAAGGUUUUUAUUUCCUUAUUUUUGCGUAUUUUUACAUUGAUU